rnacentral:rRNA from 1 species
CCUACGGGCGGCAGCAGUGGGGAAUAUUGGACAAUGGGCGAAAGCCUGAUCCAGCCAUGCCGCAUGUGUGAAGAAGGCCUUCGGGUUGUAAAGCACUUUCAGUGGGGAAGAAAGCCUUGGGGCUAAUACCCUCGAGGAAGGACAUCACCCACAGAAGAAGCACCGGCUAACUCCGUGCCAGCAGCCGCGGUAAUACGGAGGGUGCGAGCGUUAAUCGGAAUUACUGGGCGUAAAGCGCGCGUAGGCGGUCUGAUAAGCCGGUUGUGAAAGCCCCGGGCUCAACCUGGGAACGGCAUCCGGAACUGUCAGGCUAGAGUGCAGGAGAGGAAGGUAGAAUUCCCGGUGUAGCGGUGAAAUGCGUAGAGAUCGGGAGGAAUACCAGUGGCGAAGGCGGCCUUCUGGACUGACACUGACGCUGAGGUGCGAAAGCGUGGGUAGCAAACAGGAUUAGAUACCCCUGUAGUC